rnacentral:lncRNA from 1 species
UCCAGAUCAUGUUUUCAGGUUCAGAACACAAUUUCAUGCGUCUGAAAGUACAAUAUUCAAAAGUUCUCAUCGCUUGAUGUACAUUUUUACACGUGAUUCUUCAGCAUGUCCUUUCUGCCAUGAACAGGUGAAUAAAGUGCCUAUCUUCUUAAUUUCACACGUUUUGAAAUGAAGCAUUUCUUUACACCUGAUUUUUUUUUUCUCACCUUUUUGUUUUUGCUUUUACAACUGUAGAAAACGCGUGACAAAUGUGAAGGUUUUUUUUUCAAAGUAGGAAAAUGCUAUAGAUGAUUUUCUCUGCCCCAAAAGCCUUUAUAUUUAGAAAAACUAAUGUUUAUAUAGAAGUCCAUUCAUUGAUUCCUUCAAGUAAGCUUAUGAUCGGAAAAACAUCGACAGAGGAGCUCCUUCUCUAACGUUAACAAUCUGUAAGUGUGCAAUUUUAUUUCCAGAUUCUAGAUAUAUAUUUAUACAUUCCAUCAUGGUUUUACAACUAGUACAGUAUAGCGUUUAUGGAUGUGUAUUUAUCUUCCGAAAGUCCGCUAGCAUGUUGUGCUAUAAGCUUCCCAUACUAUUGUAUUUUAGUUAGCUAAGUUAGCUGUCUUUUAUACUGACUAACGUUAGGCAAGAGGGUGUUGUACCUAGUUUGUUUACUCAUGUCAUAGUGAAAACGUCGCCCUUUUCUGACAAGUCAUUUCAUGCCAACUGUCAGCCCAGGAACUUGUGAUAUAAAUCCAUGUCGUCAUCGUUAUGUUACUGAAACUAACGUUGCUAUCUAUUUCAUGCCUGCUAGUUAACAGUACAAUGUUAGCUAUUUUGUGUGCUAACCCAGCUUCCUAUUUAUUUUUCAAAGGCAGGAUGGAGACACUGGGAUGUAUGUCAGAGACCCAUACAGUAGUAACCCCGCCGUAGGCUUGCUUGACAUCUACCAAGAGGUCUGGACCUUUAUGGCUCAGAAAGAACAGGAUAGGUCUAAACAAAGAUACUGGUCAUAUAGCUUUUGUCAAGUGUGUUUAAACUACACUGAUCCAGGGCAAGCAGCCCUGGUCCCACUCCUCUCCCUCAAUCACUACAGUGGCAUUACUUGAACUUCUAUCGCUCCUGUAGCACCAGCAGGUUGGAGAUGUGGACACCACCAUUCCCAUUAUGUACCGCUUCUGUUUUUCAUUUCUUUCUACUUGGAACUGUGGUUCACACAUGUUAUGUUGUCUAAUUCCAGGUGCAUACAGGAAGAAUUUUAUUUUUGUAUACUCCCAUUUUAUUAUAGUGGUCUUUCCACAUGUCAUAAAUAGAGUAGAUGGUUAAAGGGCAUUCCUUUCGUUUGACAUGUGUGCUCAAAGUGUUUAAUCUCUGUCAUUGUGUUUUACAGCAAUCUUCUUCAACGUGGUGACGUGGAACAACCUGAAUUUUUAUUUCUGUUGGUAAGGUAUGGCUUGUGUGAGGUGGUGGGAUUUGUGUGAGUUUAUUUUUUGGUUGUUGAUGAUGAUGAUGAUGACCAGGAGGUGGAUGGCAAAGGGGAGAUCAGAAAAGGUCCUAACCACUAGGUGGUUCUGGAAUCCUGGGAAGGGGGUGCCCUUUAACCAUCUACUCUGUGUUGAUCAAGGUGUUUAUAUGUUGUUUGUUGGGGUGGUUGUGUAGUCUAGAAGGGGGUGCCCGGCCGUGUUGAUCAAGGUGUUUAUAUGUUGUUGUUUGUUGGGGUGGUUGUGUAGUCUAGAAGGGGGUGCCCGGCCGUGUUGAUCAAGGUGUUUAUAUGUUGUUGUUGGGGUGGUUGUGUAGUCUAGAAGGGGGUGCCUGGCCGUGUUGAUCAAGGUGUUUAUAUGUUGUUGUUUGUUGGGGUGGUUGUGUAGUCUAGAAGGGGGUGCCCGGCCGUGUUGAUCAAGGUGUUUAUAUGUUGUUGUUUGUUGGGGUGGUUGUGUAGUCUAGAAGGGGGUGCCCGGCUGUGUUGAUCAAGGUGUUUAUAUGUUGUUUGUUGGGGUGGUUGUGUAGUCUAGAAGGGGGUGCCUGGCCGUGUUGAUCAAGGUGUUUAUAUGUUGUUGUUUGUUGGGGUGGUUGUGUAGUCUAGAAGGGGGUGCCCGGCCGUGUUGAUCAAGGUGUUUAUAUGUUGUUUGUUGGGGUGGUUGUGUAGUCUAGAAGGGGGUGCCCGGCUGUGUUGAUCAAGGUGUUUAUAUGUUGUUUGUUGGGGUGGUUGUGUAGUCUAGAAGGGGGUGCCCGGCCGUGAUGUUCAAGGUUUGCCUGUUCACUCAUCCAGAAGGCGAGGUCAGUACAGAUGCAUCUAAGCUGGGACCGAGAGACUGAAAAACAGCUUCUAUCUCAAGGCCGUCAGACUGUUAAACAGCCAUCACUAACAUACAGUGGCUGCUGCCAACAUACUGACUCAACUCAAGCCACUUUAAUAAUGAAAAAUGUAUGUAAUAAAUGUAUCGCUAGCCACUUUAAACAAUGCCACUUUAUAUAAUGUUUACAUAUCCUACAUUACUCAUGUCAUAUGUAUAUACUGUACUCUAUAUCAUCUACUGCAUCUUGCCAUCUUGAUGUAAUAAAUGUAUCACUAGCCACUUUAAUCAAUGCCACUUUAUAUAAUGUUUACAUACCCUACAUUACUCAUCUCAUAUGUAUAUACUGUACUCUAUACCAUCUACUGCAUCUUGCCUAUGCCGUUCGGCCAUCGCUCAUUCAUAUAUUUUUAUGUACAUAUUCUUAUUCAUUCCUAUACACUUGUGUGUAUAAGGUAGUUAUUGUGAAAUUGUUAGAUAUUACUGCAUGGUCAGAACUAGAAGCACAAGCAUUUCCCUACACUCGCAUUAACAUCUGCUAACCAUGUGUAUGUGACAAAUAAAAUAAGAUUUGAGGUGUUAAAAUGUUUUUUGGGUUGUUUUUUUUUGGUGCGGUUGGUGAAUAUUUUACCCAUUGCCACUCAUUUUACCUGUAGGUAGGUAUUACUGUUCAAUUCAAAGUAAUUCAGAGUAAGUGAGUUCCAGUAAUCGUAGUAGAUGAUGGUCUGGUCUGCCUGGUUGUGGGGUAUUGUAGUAGUUGAUGGUCUGCCUGGUUGUGGGGUAUUGUAGUAGUUGAUGGUCUGUCUGGUUGUGGGGUAUUGUAGUAGUUGAUGGUCUGUCUGGUUGUGGGGUAUUGUAGUAGUUGAUGGUCUGUCUGGUUGUGGGGUAUUGUAGUAGUUGAUGGUCUGGUCUGGUUGUGGGGUAUUGUAGUAGUU